GAUGAACGAUGGCGGCGUGCCUAAUACAUGCAAGUCGAGCGAACAGACGAGGAGCUUGCUCCUCUGACGUUAGCGGCGGACGGGUGAGUAACACGUGGAUAACCUACCUAUAAGACUGGGAUAACUUCGGGAAACCGGAGCUAAUACCGGAUAAUAUAUUGAACCGCAUGGUUCAAUAGUGAAAGACGGUUUUGCUGUCACUUAUAGAUGGAUCCGCGCCGCAUUAGCUAGUUGGUAAGGUAACGGCUUACCAAGGCAACGAUGCGUAGCCGACCUGAGAGGGUGAUCGGCCACACUGGAACUGAGACACGGUCCAGACUCCUACGGGAGGCAGCAGUAGGGAAUCUUCCGCAAUGGGCGAAAGCCUGACGGAGCAACGCCGCGUGAGUGAUGAAGGUCUUCGGAUCGUAAAACUCUGUUAUUAGGGAAGAACAAAUGUGUAAGUAACUAUGCACGUCUUGACGGUACCUAAUCAGAAAGCCACGGCUAACUACGUG
rnacentral:rRNA from 1 species